CCUCAAUCACCACCGCCGUCUACGGCGCCGAUUCUUUCCCUUCUUCUUUUAGCAAGUUCAAUUCGGCUCUCACUGCUAGACUAUUGAAUCCCAUGUCUUCACCACUACCUCCCUCCGACAAGGCCCGAUCGAGCCCGACCCUUUUCGAAAUGAUGGCGAGCGAGCCCGAUUCCAUUCCCAGAUCCCAACAGCGAUUGUCGGAGAUUUUGGGUUCUCGGAGUCCGGGAAGUCAGUUCAAUGACCCCAAUUCGAGCGAGCGAUGUCACCAGAGUACUUGGAUUGAAGGUUUCAGCUGCAAUUGGGUUUGAUGCUGGGGUUUUGUCAUGUUUGGAGUAUGUAGAGGAUGCUCCAUGGGCUGAAGAUGAAGAAGAGAAGGUGGCUUCAGUAUGUAGCUAAUGAGUAUGUAGCUAAUGAGAGCUUGGACAAGCUUCUCUUCAGUUUUGAGGUAUGUAGAAGGUUUAUGCUGGGUUUGCUGGUUCUACUACCAUGGUGUCUACUCAUGGCAAUGGUCAGUUUUUGAUUUAGUAGUAGUACGUAUGUCAAUAAUGAGUUUUUGUAAAGACAUUAUGGCCAAAGAAGCGGUUGUACACCCAUAUUAUGCAAUAUGCAUUGCGUGGAUUGGAUGAGAAAACAGAGGAUUUUGGCUCUGUGUCUAAAUGGAAGUCAAGCAAAGCAUCCUACAAAUGUGCACUUUUAUAGGAUCUUAUUUUCAAGAUAACAUUGGACCAGGUAAAUAUGAGCAAAUGCUUAAUCUCCAUCCCACCACACAGAUGAUAUAUACACAUGUUUAAUUAAGGAGGCUUAUGCCUAUUUAUCAACAAAAAAAAUCAAAAAAUUAAGGAUGCUUAUGCUUGGUACUGUUUUAUGUUGUGUAGAUUGCUGCCUUUCAGUGUACUUGCAUUUAAACUAAAUGUCCUGUUUUUGCUUCAAGUUUUAUCCAUAUCAUUAUGCUAAAUGUCCUUUCGACUAGCUAAUGGGAACCUUGCCUGCUGCAAGGUCUGUAUUACUUUCUCACUCUGUCUCUCUCUCUCUCUGCUGCUGCAUUCAGUACUGUAUGAGCUUAUCAAUUUCAUGUUACAGUUCUAGUGCUCUGCCUGAAGAGUACAGGAGAUUGAUGACUGAUCCAGCAUCACCGAUCCAAGAAUUCUACCCUUUUGGUUGUAUUACUUGAGUUUCAUAGUUUUCUAUUAUUUCUUUUUGAACCUUUUUUUUUUUUCCGACACAUGAAUUUAUAGCACACUAUCUAAAUUGUUAGUUAACUUAUAUUUAUUAUAUAAAUACCAGCCACAAACACUCAAUGUGUUAGUUGGAAGCUUGUCAUUGUGAUGCUCUAAAUUAUCAGAGCCUCAAAUUAUUUUGGCAUCAUCUGACAAAUGUUGGCGUAUGAUAUAGGGCUUACUUUAGACCUAUGUUGCUGUUAGAUAGUUUAGGGUGGUGGUUUUAGCUAUAUAUUUAUAUGUGUGGUGUUUAGUGGGUUUGACAG